rnacentral:rRNA from 1 species
GAUGAACGCUAGCGGCAGGCUUAACACAUGCAAGUCGAGGGGUAACAGGGUGCUUGCACCGCUGACGACCGGCGCACGGGUGCGUAACGCGUAUACAAUCUACCUUUUACAGGGGCAUAGCCCGGGGAAACCCGGAUUAAUAUCCCAUAGUACUUUUGAGUGGCAUCACUUGAUGGUUAAAGUUUCGGCGGUAAAAGAUGAGUAUGCGUCCUAUUAGUUAGUUGGUAAGGUAACGGCUUACCAAGGCAGCGAUAGGUAGGGGUCCUGAGAGGGAGAUCCCCCACACUGGUACUGAGACACGGACCAGACUCCUACGGGAGGCAGCAGUGAGGAAUAUUGGACAAUGGGCGAGAGCCUGAUCCAGCCAUGCCGCGUGCAGGAAGACUGCCCUAUGGGUUGUAAACUGCUUUUAUACGGGAAGAAACACUCCCUCGUGAGGGAAUUUGACGGUACCGUACGAAUAAGGAUCGGCUAACUCCGUGCCAGCAGCCGCGGUAAUA